UUUCCUCUCUGCAGGUGAAUGCACCGAGGAAAGACUUACAGGUUCUUCUUUGUAUGUUUGUUUGUUUUGUUAGUUUAUUUUUAAGAAAAGAGAAAAAAAGUUUACCCAAGGCUGUGAAGAGGGUUCUGAAUGCUUGUCCCCCAGAUCUAAAAUUCCUCUUAUCCUGCAGACCUCACUCCAUGAGAGAGAGUAGGUAUACUGACCCAGAGAACUUUUCCACAACAGCGUUUGAGUCUUGGAGCAAAAUACCAACACAAGGCUGAAAAAAAGCAUUGGCAGCCCCAGCCACAUGAAGAUCAGUUCUGUGCCUAUAUCACAUGGAGUGUUGAAGGCAAGAUGGUAUCUGCAGGCCUGAUGAUGGUGGGCUGGGUGCUGCCACAUACACAUCUCCACAAGUUGCCUCAGCAUUGCAGCAGGCUGCUGCCAGCCUGGCCCCUCAGUUAACAUUAUAAGACUUUCUGGAGAUAGCUCCUGAAAAAACAAGCUGUACCUAACUUGAUCAUGUGGCAAUUUGUGCUGGUGGACUUCUUGCUUUUCACUUCAGACCAGAAGGCCUAGCUGUCCAGCUGAGCUGUAACACUGAUUGUUCUCCAAGGCUUCCAGAUCUUUCUGAAGUUAUGAUGAAAAUAAAAAUUAGUUGCAAUUGUAGCUGGCUCCUCCCUACAAGGUGUAUUGUGAGGUGUCUGCGUUGGAUGCAUGGAAAUCUAGAGCAGAAAUGGACAAAGCCCUUGAGAACCAUCUCCCAGACAUUGAAGACAGAAGAAAAAUUCCUCAAACAAGAACGCUACCAUGGUACUUGAUUCUUAGCAGAAGUAUUAACGUUGCCUUUCUUGUUUGGUUUUCUCCUACCACUCAUAAAUGAUUUUUUAGAAAUGUAUAUUAAUAUGUAAGGGAAAAUUUUUGGUGAGUGGGUUGCUUGUAUUGUGGAGAGAUAAAAUCUCUGUGAACAUGAGAGAUGAUCUGUAUGCUGGAGCAGAGGGAGAAUAACUAUCCUUGUUUGGUUUUAUUGGUUUUAUUCAUUUUAGUCUGUUGAUAUUGGCUGUCUGCUGGCUUUUCUUUGCAAAAGCUGAAUGGAAAUUAGGAAGUAUUUGUAUCUGAGGCUCCAUAAAAGAAGCAUCCAGAGUUUGCAUUGACGGUUUAAUCUAAUGACAAAUGCCAGGCACUUUUUGUUAUUUCAAAAAAAAAAUUUUUUUUUUUGAAACAUUGUAAGAUUUUAAAAUUACCUCAAUCUCAUUAUGUCAACAUUUCUGGACUAAAGCAGCUUCCAGAUCUUAUGUUCAACAUUUCCCCUACUGUUAGCUUCAUACUUGGCUUGCAACAGACCUAGGAAGGGAAAAAAAAGUCACCUUUUUCAGUUUUCAUUCUGCAAGGAGAAAAGAUGAGGAAAGAAAAAUAAAAGGAGAAAAACUACUGGGGCUCUGGACUCCUGUGUGACAGUGUCUUUACCAGCAGAGCCUAAGGGAUCCUCUAUUUUGAUCUGUAAUUGUCACUAAUUCAUUUAAGGAGGAGGAGGGGGCAGAAAGGAAAACAAAACAAAAUAAAAAACCCCAAACAAAGUACUGCUAAGAUACUUGAAUAUGCUGAUUUCCAUGAAAUUUAAGGUGUGGUCACACCACUCACUGACAACUAGAGAAAGUAUGAUACCCAAAAGGAAGAUGGCAAUGAAUUACAAACAUUAUAAAGAUUUGAUAUCCAAAUUUUCUAUGUGUUUACAACUGUGCUAGACUCUAAAAACUUUUAAAAGACAAAAUCAAAAAUGAUAAAUAGAAUAAAUGUUUGAAAUACACCUAUUCUUUCCUGGUUUU